rnacentral:rRNA from 1 species
UUGAACGCUGGCGGCAGGCCUAACCCCUGCCAGUCGAGCGGAUGAAGGGAGCUUGCUCCUGGAUUCAGCGGCGGACGGGUGAGUAAUGCCUAGGAAUCUGCCUGGUAGUGGGGGAUAACGUCCGGAAACGGGCGCUAAUACCGCAUACGUCCUGAGGGAGAAAGUGGGGGAUCUUCGGACCUCACGCUAUCAGAUGAGCCUAGGUCGGAUUAGCUAGUUGGUGGGGUAAAGGCCUACCAAGGCGACGAUCCGUAACUGGUCUGAGAGGAUGAUCAGUCACACUGGAACUGAGACACGGUCCAGACUCCUACGGGAGGCAGCAGUGGGGAAUAUUGGACAAUGGGCGAAAGCCUGAUCCAGCCAUGCCGCGUGUGUGAAGAAGGUCUUCGGAUUGUAAAGCACUUUAAGUUGGGAGGAAGGGCAGUAAGUUAAUACCUUGCUGUUUCGACGUUACCAACAGAAUAAGCACCGGCUAACUUCGUG